rnacentral:tRNA from 1 species
GGUGAGAUAGCUCAGCUGGUAGAGCAAUGGACUGAAAAUCCAUGUGUCGCCGGUUCAAGCCCGGCUCUUACCA